rnacentral:lncRNA from 1 species
CUGCCUUCUGAGCAAGGGGAUCCCAGCAACCCUGGUACAGCAGGCUCUGAGCAAUACCAAGGAGCAGGGCAGGAACUAAGAGGGGCUAUGUAGGAACCAUAUCUCGAUCAGGAAACCGCAGUAGGGAGGCCCUCCCAGGGUGCCCUGAAGAACACAUACAGCUCAUAGAGAGUAAGUGAUUGGAAGACAGUCAGGUAAAAAAUAUCUACAUUCCUCUUCUCCCUCCACUUCUUCCUACUACUCCAAUACCAUGGUCCACCUUCAAGAGAAGCAGAAGAAGAUGGCACAGGUAAGAAAAUCAGAGCAAAGGAAGUUUGAGUAAUGCACCCUGGCUCCCAUAAAUGGUAGAUGCAGAGCUCAAACCCACAUGGCUGACUCCAGACCUCAAUGAAGAACACGUUCCUGUUUUCCUGGGUGGUUCACCAUUUUGCCUGUUGUCCCAGGCCCCCAUGCAUUUGAAAGGAAGAGAAGGAGAACAAAAACAAGGAAAGAAAGGAAAAAAGGAAGGAAGGGAGGAAGUCAAGGCAAGACAAGAUGGGCCUGGAGAGCAUGAGUAAAUCCGGGGCUC